UUUUUGAUACUAUUCAUUUGGGUUACCCAUAAAGAGUAACUUUUGGAGUAACUUUUGGAGACUUAGGGCUCUGUUUAUUUGGAUUACCCAUAAAAGAGUAACAUUUGGAGACUUAGGGCUCUGUUCAUUUGGGUUACUCAUAAAGGGUAACAUUUGGAGACUUAGGGCUCUGUUCAUUUGGGUUACUCAUAAAGGGUAACAUUUGGAGACUUAGGGCUCUGUUCAUUUGGGUUACUCAUAAAGAAUAACAUUUGGAGACGUAGCGCUCUGUUCAUUUGGGUUACUCAUAAAGAGUAACAUUUGGAUCUGUUCAUUUGGGUUACUCAUAAAGAGUAACAUUUGGAGACUUAGGGCUCUGUUCAUUUGGGUUAUUCACAAAGGGUAACAUUUAGAGACUUAGGGCUCUGUUCAUUUGGGUUACUCACGUAGGGCUCUAUUCAUUUGGGUUACUCAUAAAGGGUAACAUUUGGAGACUUCAGGCUCUAUUCAUUUGGGUUACUCAUAAAGGGUAACAUUUGGAGACUUAGGUCUAUAUUCAUUUGGGUUAUCCAUAAAGGGUAACACUUGGAGAUUUAGGCCUCUGUUCAUCAGGUAUUGUUCACGGGAAUUAUUCAUCGGGUACUGUUCACGAGUACUGUUCAUCGGGGGUACUGUUCACGCAUACUGUUCUUCGGGUACUGUUCACGAGUACUGUUCAUAGGGUACUGUUCACGAAUUCGAAAUUCUAUUCACUGUAAGGCGUUUUACCAAGCUGAGAAAAUAU
rnacentral:lncRNA from 1 species